UACGGGGGGGGCAAGCGUUGUUCGGAAUUACUGGGCGUAAAAGGCUCGUAGGCGGCCAACUAAGUCGGACGUGAAAUCCCUCGGCUCAACCGGGGAACUGCGUCCGAUACUGGAUGGCUUGAGUUCGGGAGAGGGAUGCGGAAUUCCAGGUGUAGCGGUGAAAUGCGUAGAUAUCUGGAGGAACACCGGUGGCGAAGGCGGCAUCCUGGACCGACACUGACGCUGAGGAGCGAAAGCGUGGGGAGCGAACAGG
rnacentral:rRNA from 1 species